rnacentral:rRNA from 1 species
GAUGAACGCUGGCGGCGUGCUUAAUACAUGUAAGUCGGACGGAGCGUUAGCAAUAGCGCUUAGUGGCGAACGGGUGAGUAACACGUUGGUGACCUGCCCCGAAGCGGGGGAUAACAGUUCGAAAGGACUGCUAAUACCGCAUGAGGUCCAUUUGGUUAGAGGCGAAUGGACGAAAGGAGCAAUCCGCUUUGGGAGGGGCCUGCGUCCCAUCAGCUAGUUGGUAGGGUAAAAGCCUACCAAGGCAACGACGGGUAGGGGACCUGAGAGGGUGACCCCCCACACUGGCACUGAAAUACGGGCCAGACACCUACGGGAGGCAG